rnacentral:lncRNA from 1 species
UCUAUACAAAACAAAAUAACACUCGACUUCCAGCGGAGUGACUCGGAUGAAUAUACAGCUACCGAAUGCCGAGACACCUACCAAAAGAUGGACACAAGUCUACAAGGACACCUCGUCCUAGUUACCGGCUGCCUCGUGAUCUGAAAACAUGAAUUUGAAAAUGGUGAGUAUAAACCCAGUGAGUGAACAAGGAAGGGAACAAGCAACAACAACAAGGGAGAAUUUAAAAUCAUGAUGCACUUGUUUCAAAACAAUGCAAUUUAGUUCCAUUCAUAUUAAAAACCCCUCAUUUUAAACUUAACUCAUUUUGUCCUGAAUGUUAGAAGUCCAUGCUCAGAUAUGGUAGCAAAAAAGUGAAAAAUAGGGUAGCAAUUGGACAAGAUAAAAGACAAAACAGAAAGUUUUUCGCUGCAGCGAGAUUGGAUCUCGCUGCAGCGAAAUUUCUACCCAGAAACAGAAUGUUUCUCGUUGCAGCGAGAUUCAGGGAAAUUGCAACCCAGAAAACAGAAAGUUUCUCGCUGCAGCGAGAAGCUACAAUUUCAUUCUCGCUGCAGUGAAAAUGCAUUCUCGCUGCAUCAAGUUUUCGGUUAGUGUACCCCUCCAAACCUGAGAGUUUCUCGCUGCAGCGAAAUACAGGGCAUCAAUGCAAAAUUUACCUUUCUCCCAAAGGAAAAACCACCCUGCCAAAAGGUCCAAACCAACAUGAAAACACAUAACAAUUUCUCAAGGUUUAACAUGUCAAGUUUCACAUGCAUUACAACCAUAACCCAUUAUCCAUCAAUUUCCUAUAACACACAUAUUUACAUAUAUAUAUAUAUAUAUAUACGUAUAUACCCAUCAUCAUCAUCUCACCAACCCAUCAUCAUCAUCACCAGCUCAUCAUCAUCAUCACCAGCUCAUGCGCACUCCCUACUCGCACAUGGCUGGGUCAUCACCGGGUUAUGCGCACUCCCUACUCGCACAUAACCGGGUCAUCCUCGGCUUAUGCGCACUCCCUACUCGCACAUAGCCGAGUCAACAUAAUUACACAACAUUAUAUUCAAGCAUAUAUGUAUAUCAACAUAAUGCAGCCACAUAGAAAUCCAUAAUAACCACAUUUCAUAACAUAAACCUUUUCUCAAAAGCUUGUUCCCAAGGCAUUCAUUUUCAUGAAAAAUUGCAUAAAAUCAUUCAAACACUUUGUUCAAAACAGUCAUAUUCCCAAAACAAUUUUGAUAGGCAGUCCACUCACAGGUGUCGAAAAUCCGGAUUCCGGGUGAACUCUGACUAAUAGUCCUCAAGCGCAAUUCCUUUGCCUUUUCCGGACGUCUCACCACCUUGACAAAUAACAAAGUCGAGGAAUUUACUAUAUUGUCCCUAAAUUGAUAUAAAUUAAUUUAAAUUACUAAUGCUUGAUAUGUAAAUGCAAAAAUAUGUCCGAUUACCGCUUAAUCACGGUAUCGAUUAAAUUCGACCGAUCACCCGAUUAAUUGGCGAUUGUGUCCAAAUCACCUCCAAAUUAAUCCAUUUCUCCUCUAAUACCUUAAUUUACCACAUAACAUUUAAAUAAAGCCAAAUUCAGCAUUAGAACCCUCACAGUUCCUUAUAGAAAAAUUUGGUCAUUUGGUGCACUAGCAUCGAAUUUUUUUCUACAUAACCGUUUCACCUUAAUUCAUCAUUUUCCAAGCCAUUUUCCUUGAAAUAAAAACAAUCCCCCAUUGAUAUUCAGCCCUCAUGGUUCGACCAACAAGGAACCCUAGAGAAAUUGAAUAUUUCUUUUGUGUUUUUGUUCAUAACCAUGCUUAACUAUCCCUAAACACUAACAUAGUCUAAAAUCAAAUUAUUCCAACAACAAUUCCUCUUCCAUACCCAUUUUUCAGAAUUGAAUUCAUCAUGAUAACUCAAUAUUCAACCAUGGAAAUCAAGAACAAAAGCAUGGGUAAGCUAGGUAUCAAGGAGAAUUAAAGAAAUUUUAACUUACCUAGCUUGUUUCCUUGAUUUCUUCACUUUUUCUUUGAAUUUCCACCUAGGUUUUCUUGUUUUUCCUUUUGUUCUUCCUUUU